rnacentral:rRNA from 1 species
UACGGAGGGGGCAAGCGUUGUCCGGAAUUAUUGGGCGUAAAGAGCUCGUAGGCGGUUUGUCGCGUCUGCUGUGAAAACUCGGGGCUUAACCCCGGGCCUGCAGUGGGUACGGGCAGACUAGAGUGCGGUAGGGGAGACUGGAAUUCCUGGUGUAGGCGGUGGAAUGCGCAGAUAUCAGGAGGAACACCGAUGGCGAAGGCAGAUCUCUGGGCCGUAACUGACGCUGAGGAGCGAAAGCAUGGGGAGCGAACAGG